GUAAAGCUGCCUCAGCUCACUGGGGUUAUUAUUAAAUGCACUCUCCUGCUUUUUUUUUUUUUUUUUUUUUCCCCAAGGUCAAGGUUAAUAAUUAGGUGGCUGGUGUGCCUGUUAUGUAGGGGAAAAAAAAGAAGCAAUUUAAAGGAUGCAUCAGACAUUCCCAAGUGAGGAAAUUUCUGCGGAGCAUUAGAAGAUCUGCUGAAGGUGGGCCAGGGAGGUAGGGUGAAUCAGGGAAUGACAUGGCCCACCUCGCUGGUCGGUGGACAAAGCUUGGACAUGCUCCCAGUACGAAGCACGUUAGAUAUAUUUCUAUAAGGGAACGUGAGAAAGCGAGUGAGGAGAUUCGAAGCUGAGCUCCAGCUUCUGAAAUGAAGAGGUGAAGGUGGCUCCUCUGUGCUGCCCUUUUCAUUUGAGCUGGUGUAACAAUAGUGAAUUGAGCUGUUUGGUUUGCUUCUGGACGCUUUUCUUUCACAGGUCCACAGGACUUGUGGCACAUCAUGGAGUUCCCAGGCCAUGUGUUUUUGGGGGUAUGCACGCAAAUUGGGAUGGGUCAGCCACUGAGCAGGAGGUCUCACUCUUGCCCUGGCCACUCAGUGGUACCUCCAGCAACGCCAGACAUCGCAGUGGUUUCCCGGGUUGAAGUUGAGAGGCUGGAAAAGGAGGACACGGCCAGGAACAGAGAAACUGAGCCACAAAGUCUUGCCCAGGAAAGUCUGUUCUGGAUCUGACUGAAAAGGAUGACAGUAAAAACACAUAAAUUGUCCUCUUCAGCUUCUUUAUUGCGUGCUGUUCUGCUGGUUUUAUGCGGAGAAGCUUUCUGCAGGUGAAGGGGUUGGUCUUGCAAAGCAGAGAGUGUUCUUGGUCUGUCCAACUGUGAACAUGAAGAAUAUCUCAAUAGCUUAAAGGAGGUUAUCUGCUAGACCUGAGGUAGGUUGACCAAAGCAAGGACUACAGGUGUUGCAAAAACUUAAAAAAAUAUUUUUUCCAAUAAUCACUGGUCACUGUAUAUUCUAAGCCCUCAUUUUUAUGUUGUUUUUCUAAGGAAUUAAGUAGUUCCUUAUGUGCCAAUGUUGAUGGUUUUGUCCUUCACCAAAACUUUUGAACCAGCUGAUCUCUUUUAGAUAGACAAAGGGACAGAGGUUAAUUAAAGAUAUUAAUUUCCUGUGAAUUUUGGAAAAAUAAAUAGAAGGGAGGCAGUGGGCCA
rnacentral:lncRNA from 1 species